rnacentral:rRNA from 1 species
GACGAACGCUGGCGGCGUGCUUAACACAUGCAAGUCGAACGGAAAGGCCCUGCUUUCGUGGGGUGCUCGAGUGGCGAACGGGUGAGUAACACGUGAGUAACCUGCCCUUGACUUUGGGAGGACUUCAGGAAACUGGGGCUAAUACCGGAUAGGAGCUCCUGUUGCAUGGUGGGGGUUGGAAAGUUUCGGCGGUUGGGGAUGGACUGGCGGCUUAUUAGCUUGUUGGUGGGGUAGUGGCCCACCAAGGCGAUGACGGGUAGCUGGCCUGAGAGGGUGACCGGCCACACUGGAACUGAGACACGGUACAGACUCCGACGGGAGGCAGCAGUGGGGAAUAUUGGACAAUGGGCGCAAGCCUGAUCCAGCCAUACCGCGUGGGUGAAGAAGGCCUUCGGGUUGUAAAGCCCUUUUGUUGGGAAAGAAAAGCAGCAGGUUAAUACCCCGCUGUUCUGACGGUACCCAAAGAAUAAGCACCGGCUAACUUCGUG